rnacentral:rRNA from 1 species
AGAAUCAACGCUGGCGGCGUGCCUAACACAUGCAAGUCGAACGAGAAAGUGGAGCAAUCCAUGAGUAAAGUGGCGCACGGGUGAGUAACACGUGACUAACCUACCCUUGAGUGGGGGAUAACCUAGAGAAAUCUGGGCUAAUACCGCAUAAUACCUUCGGGUCAAAGGAGCAAUUCGCUUAAGGAGGGGGUCGCGGCCGAUUAGUUAGUUGGCGGGGUAAUGGCCCACCAAGACUGUGAUCGGUAUCCGGCCUGAGAGGGCGCACGGACACACUGGAACUGAAACACGGUCCAGACUCCUACGGGAGGCAGCAGUGGGAAUUUUGCGCAAUGGGGGAAACCCUGACGCAGCAACGCCGCGUGGAGGAUGAAGCCCCUUGGGGCGUAAACUCCUUUGAUCGGGAAGAUAAUGACGGUACCGAGAGAAGAAGCCCCGGCUAACUUCGUGCCAGCAGCCG